rnacentral:rRNA from 1 species
CCCUUAGAUGUUCUGGGCCGCACGCGUGCUACACUGAGUGGAUCAGCGGGUCAGGUUGCGCGAAAGUGUUUCCUAAUCUUGAAAUCCGCUCGUGAUGGGGAUUGACGGUUGCAAUUUUCCGUCAUGAACGAGGAAUACCUUGUAAGCGCGGGUCAUCAUCCCGCGCUGAAUACGUCCCUGCCCUUUGUACACACCGCCCGUCGCUCCUACCGAUUGAGUGGUCCGGUGAGGCUUUGGGAUCUGAGCAAAGAGAGCGUCUCGCUCGUUUUGCCCGGAAAACUCAGUCGAACCUUAUCAUUUAGAGGAAGGAGAAGUCGUAACA